AGCUCAAUUUUUAUAACUCUUUCCCAGUUAUACAGUUUAGAUUUCCCAUGUUCUAGUCAUACUGUAAUACAAUUUGACAUGAUCUUUUUUUCUAAUUUCAGUCGCUCGCAAAAGACAAGGGUUACAGGUCCAAAAAAUAAUUUCUUUUAUCGUGUGUGUUAUUUCUCCGAUCGUAACUAUUUUGGGAAUAGCCAUUCUAGCGACCCAGGAUGGUGCAAGAUACCCUAUCAUUGGUGGUUCACCUAUAUAUGUCGGAGUUUAUG
rnacentral:lncRNA from 1 species